GAUGAACGCUAGCUACAGGCUUAACACAUGCAAGUCGCGGGACCGGCGCACGGGUGAGUAACGCGUAUCCAACCUGCCCUUCACCACGUGAUAACCCGGCGAAAGUCGGACUAAUACCGUAUGGUGAAGGAUGGGGAUGCGUCCGUUUAGGUUGACGGCGGGGUAACGGCCCCCCGUGGCUACGAGCGGUAGGGGUUCUGAGAGGAAGGUCCCCCACGCUGGAACUGAGACACGGUCCAGACUCCUACGGGAGGCAGCAGUGAGGAAUAUUGGUCAAUGGGCGGAAGCCUGAACCAGCCAAGUAGCGUGCAGGACGACGGCCUAUGGGUUGUAAACUGCUUUUAUGCGGGGAUAGGUACCGCAUGAAUAAGGACCGGCUAAUUCCGUGCGAGCAGCCGCGGGAAUUC
rnacentral:rRNA from 1 species